ACGGGUGAGUAACGCGUGAGAAUUUGGCUUCAGGUCGGGGACAACAGUUGGAAACGACUGCUAAUACCGGAUGUGCCGGAAGGUGAAAGAUUUAUCGCCUGAAGAUAAGCUCGCGUCUGAUUAGCUAGUUGGUAGUGUAAGGGACUACCAAGGCGACGAUCAGUAGCUGGUCUGAGAGGAUGAUCAGCCACACUGGGACUGAGACACGGCCCAAACUCCUACGGGAGGCAGCAGUGGGGAAUUUUCCGCAAUGGGCGAAAGCCUGACGGAGCAAUACCGCGUGAGGGAGGAAGGCUCUUGGGUCGUAAACCUCUUUUCUCAAGGAAGAAAAAAAUGACGGUACUUGAGGAAUAAGCAUCGGCUAACUCCGUGCCAGCAGCCGCGGUAAUACGGAGGAUGCAAGCGUUAUCCGGAAUGAUUGGGCGUAAAGGGUCCGCAGGUGGAACUGAAAGUCUGCUGUUAAAGAAUCUGGCUCAACCAGAUAAAAGCAGUGGAAACUACAGAACUAGAGUACGUUCGGGGCAGAAGGAAUUCCUGGUGU
rnacentral:rRNA from 1 species